rnacentral:rRNA from 1 species
GCACAAGCAGCGGAGCAUGUGGUUUAAUUCGACGCAACGCGAAGAACCUUACCAGGGCUUGACAUCCCUCGCUAGUCGCGGAAACGCGAUGUCCCUUUGGGACGAGGAGACAGGUGGUGCACGGUUGUCGUCAGCUCGUGUCGUGAGAUGUUGGGUUAAGUCCCGCAACGAGCGCAACCCUUGUCCUUAGUUGCCAACGUAAAGUCGUGCACUCUAGGGAGACUGCCGGAGACAAUUCGGAGGAAGUGGGAUGACGUCAAAUCAUCAUGCCCCUUAUGUCCUGGGCUACACACGUGCUACAAUGGUUGGUACAACGAGUUGCGAGUCGGUGACGGCGAGCUAAUCUCUUAAAGCCAAUCUCAGUUCGGAUUGUAGGCUGCAACUCGCCUACAUGAAGUCGGAAUCGCUAGUAAUCGCGGAUCAGCACGCCGCGGUCGAAUACGUUCCCGGGCCUU